rnacentral:rRNA from 1 species
ACUCCUACGGGGGCAGCAGUGAGGAAUAUUGGUCAAUGGGCGGAAGCCUGAACCAGCCAAGUAGCGUGCAGGAUGACGGCCCUACGGGUUGUAAACUGCUUUUAUACGGGAAUAACGCGCCUUACGUGUAGGGCUUUGCAUGUACCGUAUGAAUAAGGACCGGCUAAUUCCGUGCCAGCAGCCGCGGUAAUACGGAAGGUCCGGGCGUUAUCCGGAUUUAUUGGGUUUAAAGGGUGCGUAGGCGGGUUAUCAAGUCAGCGGUAAAAUCGUGGAGCUCAACUCCAUCCAGCCGUUGAAACUGAUGA